rnacentral:misc_RNA from 1 species
GUGAAUCAUCGAAUCUUUGAACGCAUAUUGCACUCUCUGGUAUUCCGGAGAGUAUGCCUGUUUGAGGGUCAGUUAAAUAAAAAUCGGGGUUUUUGCCACCUUUGGUGGUGACGCUUCGGAAUUGGGUCGUCUUUACCUUUCGGUUAAGUGACUUAAAAUUUUUGAAUGAUAUCUGAACGUAUUUAAAUUUAUUUGGUACGUCUUUGUAAUAUCGAAUGUUUAUUAGGUGCGGUCAUCCACAUGAUUUCGCGCCUAUAAUUUUUCAUUAUUUGACCUCAAAUCAGGUAAGAAUACCCGCUGA